rnacentral:rRNA from 1 species
CUACGGGAGGCUGCCGUAGGGAAUAUUGGACAAUGGGCGAAAGCCUGAUCCAGCAACGCCGCGUGCACGAUGACGGCCUUCGGGUUGUAAAGUGCUUUUAGAGGAGAUGAGAAAGGACAGUAUCCUCUGAAUAAGCCUCGGCGAACUGACGUGCCAGCAGCCGCGGUAAAACGUAGGAGGCAAGCGUUAUCUGGAUUUAUUGGGCGUAAAGCGCGUGCAGGCGGUUUGACAAGUUGGAUGUGAAAGCUCCCGGCUUAACUGGGAGAGGUCGUUCAAAACUGUCAGACUAGAGAAUGGGAGAGGGAGGUGGAAUUCCGGGUGUAGUGGUGAAAUGCGUAGAUAUCCGGAGGAACACCAGUGGCGAAAGCGGCCUCCUAGACCAUUUCUGACGCUAAGACGCGAAAGCUAGGGUAGCAAACGGGAUUAGAUACCCCAGUAGUC